AGUGAACGCUGGCGGUAGGCCUAACACAUGCAAGUCGAACGGCAGCACAGUAAGAGCUUGCUCUUACGGGUGGCGAGUGGCGGACGGGUGAGGAAUACAUCGGAAUCUACUUUUUCGUGGGGGAUAACGUAGGGAAACUUACGCUAAUACCGCAUACGACAUACGGGUGAAAGCAGGGGAUCUUCGGACCUUGCGCGAUUGAAUGAGCCGAUGUCGGAUUAGCUAGUUGGCGGGGUAAAGGCCCACCAAGGCGACGAUCCGUAGCUGGUCUGAGAGGAUGAUCAGCCACACUGGAACUGAGACACGGUCCAGACUCCUACGGGAGGCAGCAGAGGGGAAUAUUGGACAAUGGGCGCAAGCCUGAUCCAGCCAUACCGCGUGGGUGAAGAAGGCCUUCGGGUUGUAAAGCCCUUUUGUUGGGAAAGAAAAGCAGCAGGUUAAUACCCCGCUGUUCUGACGGUACCCAAAGAAUAAGCACCGGCUAACUUCGUG
rnacentral:rRNA from 1 species